CUGCUGCCUCCCGUAGGAGUCUGGUCCGUGUCUCAGUACCAGUGUGGGGGACCUUCCUCUCAGAACCCCUACGCAUCGUCGGUUAGGUGGGCCGUUACCCCGCCUACUGCCUAAUGCGCCGCAUGCCCAUCCCUGUCCGGCCGAAGCCUUUUCCUGCCUCCGGGAUGCCCCGGUGGCAUGUACGCGGGUUUAGCCCGCCUUUCGGCGGGUUGUCCCCCUGACAGGGGCAGGUUGCAUACGUGUUACUCACCCGUGCGCCGGUCGCCGGCGGAGAAACG
rnacentral:rRNA from 1 species